rnacentral:rRNA from 1 species
CCUUCCGUANGGGGCCNUGCGGAAGGAUCAUUAGAGAACCUGGNCNUGCGCUACUUGCGCGGCUCCAACCAAUACACAGUGUGUUAUACUUUUCUUGCUUUGGUUCUGCCAAAGGUUUUAAACACAGAAAUUUAUUUUCUCUAGAAACUAGUCAAUUUGAAUUUUAAUCUUCAAAACUUUCAACAACGGAUCUCUUGGUUCUCGCAACGAUGAAGAACGCAGCGAAAUGCGAUACGUAAUGUGAAUUGCAGGUUUUCGUGAAUCAUCGAAUCUUUGAACGCAUAUUGCGCUCUCUGGCAUUCCAGAGAGCAUGCCUGUUUGAGCGUCAUUUCUCUCUCAAGAUCCUCUAGGGGACUUGGUAUUGAGUGAUACUCUGUGUUAACUUGAAAUACUCUAGGCAGAGCUCCCCCUAGAAAUCCUCUGGGCCGAAAUAAUGUAUUAGGUUCUACCAACUCGUUAUUUUCCAGACAGACUUCCAGGCAGAGCUCGGCUGAACAACCUUUCUAANCUUGACCUCNAAUCANGNANGACUACCCGCUGAACUUAAGCAUAUCNUAANCCGGAGGAAA